rnacentral:rRNA from 1 species
UCGAGAAUUUUUCACAAUGGGGGAAACCCUGAUGGAGCGACGCCGCGUGGGGGAUGAAUGGCUUCGGCCCGUAAACCCCUGUCAUUCGGGAUCAAUGCCUGCAGAUUAAUACCUUGCAGGUUGAUAGUACCGGAAGAGGAAGGGACGGCUAACUCUGUGCCAGCAGCCGCGGUAAUACAGAGGUCCCAAGCGUUGUUCGGAUUCACUGGGCGUAAAGGGUGCGUAGGUGGUCGGGUAAGUUUGAUGUGAAAUCUCCGGGCUUAACCCGGAAAUGGCAUUGAAUACUAUUCGGCUUGAGAGUUGGAGGGGGGACUGGAAUUCUCGGUGUAGCAGUGAAAUGCGUAGAUAUCGAGAGGAACACCAGUGGCGAAGGCGAGUCCCUGGACAACUUCUGACACUGAGGCACGAAAGCUAGGGGAGCAAACAG